rnacentral:rRNA from 1 species
AGCGAACGCUGGCGGUAGGCCUAACACAUGCAAGUCGAACGGCAGCACAGUAAGAGCUUGCUCUUACGGGUGGCGAGUCGCGGACGGGUGAGGAAUACAUCGGAAUCUACUUUUUCGUGGGGGAUAACGUAGGUAAACUUACGCUAAUACCGCAUACGACCUACGGGUGAAAGCAGGGGAUCUUCGGACCUUGCGCGAUUGAAUGAGCCGAUGUGGGAUUUGCUAGUUGGGGGGGUAAAGGCCCACCAAGUGGCCGAGCGGUAGCCGGUCUGUGUGGAUGGUCGGCGACACUGGAGGUGAGACGGGGUCAAGGCUCCUACGGGAGGGAGCAGAGGGGAAUAUUGGACAAUAGGCGCAAGCCUGAUCCAGCCGUACCGAGUGGGUGGAGGAGACCUUCGGGUUGUAAAGCCCGUUUGUUGGGAAAGAAAAGCAGCAGGUUAAUACCCCGCUGGUCUGACGGUACCCAAAGAAUAAGCACCGGCUAACUUCGUG